UACGGAGGGGGCUAGCGUUGUUCGGAAUUACUGGGCGUAAAGCGCGCGUAGGCGGCUUUGUAAGUCAGAGGUGAAAGCCUGGAGCUCAACUCCAGAACUGCCUUUGAAACUACAUCGCUAGAAUCAUGGAGAGGUUAGUGGAAUUCCGAGUGUAGAGGUGAAAUUCGUAGAUAUUCGGAAGAACACCAGUGGCGAAGGCGACCAACUGGACAUGUAUUGACGCUGAGGUGCGAAAGCGUGGGGAGCAAACAGG
rnacentral:rRNA from 1 species